CCUAAUCUGAGUUAUCCCCCCCUUUCUUCCCCUUUCUUCCCCUUUCCCCUAACCUAAUUGAGCAUUCGGCGGCAGCCUCCGUUCACCCACCAACCAUCGACAGCAACAGCGACCACCACCGGCCGAGCCCGCCUCCUCAUCGCCACCCACAACCAUCCACAGCAGUUGCGACCACCACCGGCCGAGCCCGCCUCCUUCUGAAUUCGCUUCACCGUCGCAGACGAGGGAUCUUUUGGUCGUCGUCAGCUGUCUAGUCAUCGUCGGGCAUCUGGUCGUCGGCUUGUCAUCUGUGUCAUCGGCAUCGUCUGGUCGUCGUUAGGCAUCUGGUCGUCGUCGUCUGGCUGUGCUCUUCCGCGCCCUUUUAGUUCUUCUUCCAAGAGCAUGGGUUAGCCGGAUAAUCGUUCUUAUUUCAUAGGAGGAGUUCUUUUAACUUUCACAAGAGCGUAUUCUAGGGACCUUGCUUUCACCUCUGUGAAACGCUUGAGCAGUCGAGUUUCUUCCCUUUGUUCUCCAGGUUCUCUCUUUCUCUGCUAAGUUUCUUGAUGAGGCUGUGGGCAUCUUCAAAGCUAUAAAUUAUGGAAUUAGGCCUCUCUUUUCCUUUGUUAAUUGUUGAUUUAAUUGUCUAGUUGUUUGGAUUAUGACUUCUGAAUUUAUUUUCUGAACUUUUGAUGUCGAAUGUAAUUGAUAAUUUUCUGUUUUGAACUUUUGGUGUUGCAUGUAUUGUUUGCUUUUUGAUGUGAUUAGAAAUUCUGUAAAUCUAUUCAACUAUCAAUAUUUAGUCAUUGGCUGUAACUGAAUUUAAUU